CCUACGGGAGGCAGCAGUGGGGAAUUUUGGACAAUGGGCGAAAGCCUGAUCCAGCAAUGCCGCGUGAGUGAAGAAGGCCUUCGGGUUGUAAAGCUCUUUUGUCAGGGAAGAAACGGUGAGAGCUAAUAUCUCUUGCUAAUGACGGUACCUGAAGAAUAAGCACCGGCUAACUACGUGCCAGCAGCCGCGGUAAUACGUAGGGUGCAAGCGUUAAUCGGAAUUACUGGGCGUAAAGCGUGCGCAGGCGGUUUUGUAAGUCUGAUGUGAAAUCCCCGGGCUCAACCUGGGAAUUGCAUUGGAGACUGCAAGGCUAGAAUCUGGCAGAGGGGGGUAGAAUUCCACGUGUAGCAGUGAAAUGCGUAGAUAUGUGGAGGAACACCGAUGGCGAAGGCAGCCCCCUGGGUCAAGAUUGACGCUCAUGCACGAAAGCGUGGGGAGCAAACAGGAUUAGAUACCCUGGUAGUCCACGCCCUAAACGAUGUCUACUAGUUGUCGGGUCUUAAUUGACUUGGUAACGCAGCUAACGCGUGAAGUAGACCGCCUGGGGAGUACGGUCGCAAGAUUAAAACUUAAAGGAAUUGACGG
rnacentral:rRNA from 1 species